rnacentral:lncRNA from 1 species
CCGCCGCUUCAUUUUUUCCCUUUACUUUUGCUUGGCUUCUUCUCUGUAACAUAUGCCUCUGUUUGAGAUGGUUCUUCGACGUGCUGGUGACAAAGAAACGAAACCCUUCUAGUUCAAUUUGGCCCAUGUCCCUCAAGAAGAUUCCUCUCCCGUCGUUACUUUCUCCCUUCGAGGUAAGAUCCCUCCACCGUGACCAACAUCUUCGUGGUAAAAUUCUUCCCCAUUAUGAGUUAACAUUCUUUCUCCUUUCAUUGCUCCAGAAAACAUAGAGCCUCUAUGAAGAGAGAUUCACAUUUGUUGUCACAUCUCUUCAACUUGUGGUGAGUUGAAUCUGAUCUAAUUCCCCCAAAUAUGGAACCCUAAUUCAGUAAUUUGUAUUUACCCAAAUCUUUGCCUCACAUGAUACAAGAGUAUAUCUCUGAUUUGUUUUAUUUCAAUUGCAGAAAUGAAACUAAAAAGUUAAAAGUUUGCUUUCAGGUAUGAACAUCAAAGUUUAUUGUUGUUAAAAUUUAAGGUAGCGUGUAAUUUGAUAGAUAUUAAUAUCAUUGGAUCUGGCUUGUUUAGUGUGGCAGACGUUCUUGGGUGUGAUUAAUGCGGAUGCUUCUUUAAGUUUGAUGUAUUUUAUAGGGUGGUAUAUGGUCUUGGUUUUGACUUUUAUGCAGGCUGGUUUUGAGCAUGCUAGUAGUGUUCUUGAGGAUCUUGAAAUACUUCAAUUGAUACAUAAUAGAUAUUAUGGCUUUGUUUAAAUAUCAUGUCUUUAAUUAAGUUUGAUGUAUGUCUNNNNNNNNNNNNNNNNNNNNNNNNNNNNNNNNNNNNNNUUGCUAGAGUGGCGUCUUAAAUUACUUAUGCAGGCAGCAUGCUUUGAGAGUUGAGACAUAUAUCCUUCUCUAAUCUCUUUGUUGUUUCCCCUGUUUUCAUUGAAAUUUUCAUUCUAUUAAUAUUUGGUAAGGAAUUUCUUUUUGGACUUGUUUAAGUUAGCAUUUACUACUGUCUAUUUUUGAAAUGGUUUCAGAGUGUUGUAUAAACAAUAAUAACUAGAAGAAUAUGAAAGAGUUGCUUCUCUACUUGAUGAGGAGAGGAAGAGUAUGCUACUUCUAGUUGAUGAGAAGGACAAGCCUAUGUUGUUUCAAGUUGGCAAAU